rnacentral:rRNA from 1 species
CUUCACUCAUGCAAGAAAGCGUGGGGAGCAGACAGGAUUAGAUGGUAGUGUAGUCCACGCCCUAACUCAUGUCAGCUAUCUGUUGGGUCCUUCGGGCCUUGGUAGCGCAGCUAACGCGUUAAGUUGCCCGGGUGGGGAGUACGCAAGCAAAAAUAUAACUCAAAGGAAUGGGGGGGCGCCCGCGCAAGCGGUCAAGGAUUUUAAUUAAUUCCAUCCAAAAGGAAAAACCUUACUUAUCCCAUCCAGGUAAGUUAUCAGGAAGAGAUUUGUCAGUUCUGGCAAUAGAACCCAGACACAGCAUGUCCAUGGUCAUCUUCAGUUCGUAUAGUGAGGGGUUAGUUUAACUACCACCGCGAGCCCUAUCCUUGUCAUUAAGUGAUUCGAUAGGGCACUCUAAGGAGACUGCCGGUGAUAAACCGGAGGAAGGUGGGGAUGACGUCAAGUCAUCAUGGCCCUUAUGGGUAGGGCUUCACACGUCAUACAAUGGCGGGACAAAGGGUCAGCCACCUCGCGAGGGCAACCAAUACUCAUAAACCGAUCGUAGUCCGGAUCGCAGUCUGCAACUCGACUGCGUGAAGUCGGAAUCGCUAGUAAUCGCUAGAUCAGCAUGUCGCGGUGAAUACGUUCCCGGGUCCUGUACACCCCGCCCCUCCCCCCCAUGGGAAUGGGUUUUCACAAGAAGUAAGUAACCUAACCGCUAAGGAGGCGACUACCCACGGU